rnacentral:rRNA from 1 species
AGAGUUUGAUCCUGGCUCAGGACGAACGCUGGCGGCACGCUUAACACAUGCAAGUCGAACGAGAGAAGAGGAGCUUGCUUUUCUGAUCUAGUGGCGGACGGGUGAGUAACACGUGAGCAAUCUGCCUUUCAGAGGGGGAUACCGAUUGGAAACGAUCGUUAAUACCGCAUAACAUAAUUGAACCGCAUGAUUUGAUUAUCAAAGAUUUAUCGCUGAAAGAUGAGCUCGCGUCUGAUUAGCUAGUUGGUAAGGUAACGGCUUACCAAGGCGACGAUCAGUAGCCGGACUGAGAGGUUGAUCGGCCACAUUGGGACUGAGACACGGCCCAGACUCCUACGGGAGGCAGCAGUGGGGAAUAUUGCACAAUGGAGGAAACUCUGAUGCAGCGAUGCCGCGUGAGGGAAGAAGGUUUUAGGAUUGUAAACCUCUGUCUUCAGGGACGAAAAAAGACGGUACCUGAGGAGGAAGCUCCGGCUAACUACGUGCCAGCAGCCGCGGUAAUACGUAGGGAGCGAGCGUUGUCCGGAAUUACUGGGUGUAAAGGGAGCGUAGGCGGGAUCGCAAGUCAGAUGUGAAAACUAUGGGCUUAACCCAUAAACUGCAUUUGAAACUGUGGUUCUUGAGUGAAGUAGAGGUAAGCGGAAUUCCUAGUGUAGCGGUGAAAUGCGUAGAUAUUAGGAGGAACAUCAGUGGCGAAGGCGGCUUACUGGGCUUUAACUGACGCUGAGGCUCGAAAGCGUGGGGAGCAAACAGGAUUAGAUACCCUGGUAGUCCACGCCGUAAACGAUGAUUACUAGGUGUGGGGGGACUGACCCCUUCCGUGCCGCAGCAAACGCAAUAAGUAAUCCACCUGGGGAGUACGACCGCAAGGUUGAAACUCAAAGGAAUUGACGGGGGCCCGCACAAGCAGUGGAGUAUGUGGAUUAAUUCGAAGCAACGCGAAGAACCUUACCAGGUCUUGACAUCGUAUGCAUAGCUCAGAGAUGAGUGAAAUCUCCUCGGAGACAUAUAGACAGGUGGUGCAUGGUUGUCGUCAGCUCGUGUCGUGAGAUGUUGGGUUAAGUCCCGCAACGAGCGCAACCCUUACUGUUAGUUGCUACGCAAGAGCACUCUAGCAGGACUGCCGUUGACAAAACGGAGGAAGGUGGGGAUGACGUCAAAUCAUCAUGCCCCUUAUGACCUGGGCCUCACACGUACUACAAUGGCUGUCAACAGAGGGAAGCAAAGCCGCGAGGUGGAGCGAACCCCUAAAAGCAGUCUUAGUUCGGAUUGUAGGCUGCAACCCGCCUACAUGAAGUCGGAAUUGCUAGUAAUCGCAGAUCAGCAUGCUGCGGUGAAUACGUUCCCGGGCCUUGUACACACCGCCCGUCACGCCAUGGGAGUCGGUAACACCCGAAGCCUGUAGUCUAACCGCAAGGAGGACGCAGUCGAAGGUGGGAUUGAUGACUGGGGUGAAGUCGUAACAAGGUA